UAAGAAGUGGAUUUGCAUCUUGGAGCGAAGCAGAACUUGGGGGCUCAUGGAUGUUGCUUUUCCCAUGGGAGCAAUGGAAAGCUUGCCUACCACAGUCACCAAGGGGACCAGGGAUGGAGCUGGCACUGAGGUGAUGAUGUCAUGGUCAUUUAGAUCGCCUUCAUGGAGCUCAUGCUGUGAUUUUCUGCUCUGACACAGCCCCGUGCUGCUGCCAUCUGACACACCUACUAGGGAUUCAAAAGCAAGAAACUGCCCAGUCUUGUCCUGGAGACCCCAGGAUGGACCCCGGAGCCUCUGGUUAGAACAACUUCCAUUGGCAAAUGGGAUGGGAUGCUCGGAAUUGAGUUUAUCACUAGAGCCAAGGUCCUUUCUCCAUCUCUCCGUAAGUCUUGUGUCUUAUCUUCCAAGAGAGCCCCCUGGCCCUCAGAGGUAGCCCGCUGGCUUGAACUUAAUUAGGCAGCGUUUGAAGAUGCUGUCUCCUCUCUGGCAGUCAGCCACCUUAUCUCCUGGUACAGAAAUCCCAGGGGAGAGCUGUUCCCGCCAAGCAAGGCCCCCUUCUU